UACGUAGGUGGCAAGCGUUGUCCGGAUUUACUGGGCGUAAAGAGCGCGCAGGCGGUCGGAUUAGUCGCGUGUGAAAGCCCCCGGCUCAACUGGGGAGGGUCACGCGAUACUGUUCGACUCGAAGGCAGGAGAGGGAAGUGGAAUUCCCGGUGUAGUGGUGAAAUGCGUAGAUAUCGGGAGGAACACCAGUGGCGAAGGCGACUUCCUGGCCUGUUCUUGAUGCUGAGGCGCGAAAGCUAGGGUAGCAAACGGG
rnacentral:rRNA from 1 species